CUCUAGAUCAAAGACCCUGCCAGAGAGAACUUCCCCUAGAUUCUCAGAGAGGACAAGGAAGCUCAAGCUUGGAUUAUUCUCUCCCUGCUCCUAACUGCAAUACAGUGACAAGUCAAGACAUCAUCCUACAAUGUCACUGGUCCUCCUUGAAAAUGAAGGCCUAACAACAAGCCUGGUUGUCUGCACGGAGGCUCGUGAAAGGAAGUUUACAGAACAAUUAAACAAGGUAGACAGAGGUGAAGUGACUCGCCAUCACUACUGAAGUGUCUGAAGAUUACAGAGCUGGGAUGAAGAGGGACAACUUGCUGGAGAAGACGGGAGAGAACAGGGUCAUGUGUCUGUGGGGGAGUUCAACCUGGCAAGGCCAUGGGCAUGUCCAAAUGUCUUCUAAUCCUCUCUGAACGGGAUAUGAGUUAGCUUUCUUAAAAUUUAUCAGACACGUUAUAAAUAUUUAAAUAUUUGGAAUCUUUCUGAACUUCAAUUCUCUCUCAAAGUAAACAUAUCACAAUGGAAUGGGGGGGGGAUCUCAUAAUCAAAAACAGUUUCUCAAUGCCAAUAAAGAGACCAAAUGUAUUCGAUAUUCUAUGCUAAUCCUGCAUACUGAUAACAAGCAAAAGCAAAGCAACUGAAAAGACUCCAAGUGCCC